rnacentral:rRNA from 1 species
UACGGAGGAUGCAAGCGUUAUCCGGAUUUAUUGGGUUUAAAGGGUGCGCAGGUGGUUUAAUAAGUCAGUGGUGAAAGUCUGCCGCUUAACGGUAGGAUUGCCAUUGAUACUGUUGGACUUGAAUAUGGAUGAGGUAGGCGGAAUGUGUAGUGUAGCGGUGAAAUGUUUAGAUAUUACACAGAACACCGAUUGCGAAGGCAGCUUACUAAUCCAUGAUUGACACUGAGGCACGAAAGCGUGGGGAUCAAACAGGAUUAGA